rnacentral:rRNA from 1 species
UCCGUAGGUGGAUAAUUAAGUCAGAGGUGAAAGUUUGCAGCUCAACUGUAAAAUUGCCUUUGAUACUGGUUAUCUUGAGUUAUUGUGAAGUAGUUAGAAUAUGUAGUGUAGCGGUGAAAUGCAUAGAUAUUACAUAGAAUACCAAUUGCGAAGGCAGAUUACUAACAAUAUACUGACACUGAUGGACGAAAGCGUGGGUAGCGAACAGGAUUAGAUACCCUGGUAGUCC